UGGGGAAUAUUGCACAAUGGGCGCAAGCCUGAUGCAGCCAUGCCGCGUGUAUGAAGAAGGCCUUCGGGUUGUAAAGUACUUUCAGUCGGGAGGAAGGUGUCAAGGUUAAUAACCUUGGCAAUUGACGUUACCGACAGAAGAAGCACCGGCUAACUCCGUGCCAGCAGCCGCGGUAAUACGGAGGGUGCAAGCGUUAAUCGGAAUUACUGGGCGUAAAGCGCACGCAGGCGGUUGAUUGAGUCAGAUGUGAAAUCCCCGGGCUUAACCCGGGAAUUGCAUCUGAUACUGGUCAGCUAGAGUCUUGUAGAGGGGGGUAGAAUUCCAUGUGUAGCGGUGAAAUGCGUAGGGAUGUGGAGGAAUACCGGUGGCGAAGGCGGCCCCCUGGACGAAGACUGACGCUCAGGUGCGAAAGCGUGGGGAGCAAACAGG
rnacentral:rRNA from 1 species